GGCCAACUACGGGUCAGGGCUAACUGUUGCCUGAAUAAGGGUAA
rnacentral:ncRNA from 1 species